rnacentral:rRNA from 1 species
AUCAACUUUCGAUGGUAGGAUAGAGGCCUACCAUGGUGGUAACGGGUAACGGGGUGUUAGGGCACGACACCGGAGAGGGAGCCUGAGAAACGGCUACCACAUCCAAGGAUGGCAGCAGGCGCGCAAAUUACCCAAUCCCGACACGGGGAGGUAGUGACAAUAAAUAACAAUACGGGGUUCUUUCGGAUUUCGUAAUUGGAAUGAGUACAAUUUAAAUCUCUUAACGAGGAACAAUUGGAGGGCAAGUCUGGUGCCAGCAGCCGCGGUAAUUCCAGCUCCAAUAGCGUAUAUUAAAGUUGUUGCAGUUAAAAAGCUCGUAGUUGAAUUUCGGGAUCAAUACGUCGGUCGUGCCUCUGGUAUGUACUGGUGUUAUUGAUUUCUCCCUUCUGAUGAACCAUGAUGUCAUUAAUUUGGUGUUGUGUGGAGUCAGGACUGUUACUUUGAAAAAAUUAGAGUGUUUAAAGCAGGCUCACGCUUGAAUACAUUAGCAUGGAAUAAUGAAAUAGGACGUUUGAUCCUAUUUUGUUGGUUUCUAGGAUUGACGUAAUGAUUAAUAGGGAUAGUUGGGGGCAUUAGUAUUCAAUUGUCAGAGGUGAAAUUCUUGGAUUUAUUGAAGACUGACUACUGCGAAAGCAUUUGCCAAGGAUGUUUUCAUUAAUCAAGAACGAAAGUUAGGGGAUCGAAGACGAUCAGAUACCGUCGUAGUCUUAACCAUAAACUAUGCCGACUAGGGAUCGGAUGAUGUUAAUUUUUUAAUGACUCAUUCGGCGCCUUACGGGAAACCAAAGUGUUUGGGUUC